CACUCCAACGCCCAAGUCAGUGACGGUAUCACCAAAUACUAAGAGAACAAGAACCGUGCAAAUCCUCUCUCACAGUAAGCUCUAUAACUCGCAAGCGUAAAGAGUAUAAUCUGAACGUGCGUACCUCAGAAAGUUCGUUAAGAACUCUUAUAUACCUGGUAACUUUCUCUCUCCUGGCAGUUACAGACUUGGACACGUGGCUCGCAUCCAACUGUACACGUGCCAUCAUCUGGAGGCUUCUUGACUUGGCGCUGCUUCUACUCUCAUUUUGGCUAAGUUACUUAUGCAUGGUACUGCCCAGUGCAUAGCUAACUCGGGAGUGCGAUCUCUACUGGAACUGGCGAGUUAGGGGCCUUCAUACACCUUCCCUGUGGUCUCGCCGGCCGCCUUCAUAAUCUGCUUCUCCUUCAUCUUCGACGAUGUGCUCGCUCUGGCGAUCUCCAAUGACUAGGUCGUCUGAAUCUACAUCUGGCGACUUCGUCUUUAACCUGGUGAUCGCCGAUUCUGGUAAGCUGGAGAUCGGAACACGCCAACUUAAUAACUGGUGACUUCACGAGCCCCCCGACUUCCUUCCCUUCUGCCAACCUGGCGCCUUGUCAACACGCCUAUACUGUAGCUGGAUGCCACGUCAUCACUUCCGACUUCCAGGGCGGUACAUA
rnacentral:lncRNA from 1 species